UCUUUCUUUAUCUUUCUCUCUGGGUAACUGAUAGAAAGAUCUAGUCGGAGUGGGCGGCUGUAUCAUCACACAAUGAGGCAUGAAAACAUUGGCUAAUUCAAGCCUAAGGGCUGCACACAUUUACCUAAAUGAAAGCCCUGGCCCCCAGUUGGCUGGAUGGAUCUCGGGGGAAAAGCAGCGAGCCCAUGCCUGGGAAGGAGCCUUCCGCCUGGGCUACUGCCGAGUUCUGUGAACACCUUACCAUCAUCUUCAGACACUGCUCGCGAGGUGCGCGUUUACAGGGAAGAGGAGAAAAGAAGAGAAGAGGAAGAGAACAGAAUGCUAGCCAAGGUGGUAAUGAAAUAUACAGGCUAAAGAAAAAAGCUAGAGCUGGAAGGAAAGAGAAAACUGGACUGCCACAGUGAUAGAGAGCUGUGUGCUUACGUUCACAUUCGCACUACACACACACAAACAAACACACGCACACA